CCCAAUUCAACCAUCAACGCACCGAAUAAACAACACACCGACCUCUUCAUCAGGGACCUCUCUCUAAUUACAGAAUUCUUCCAAUUCAACCAUCAACGCACCGAAUAAACAACACACCGACCUCUUCAUCAGGGACCUCUCUCUAAUUACAGAAUUCUUCCAAUUCAACCAUCAACGCACCGAAUAAACAACACACCGACCUCUUCAUCAGGGACCUCUCUCUAAUUACAGAAUUCUUCCAAUUCAACCAUCAACGCACCGAAUAAACAACACACCGACCUCUUCAUCAGGGACCUCUCUCUAAUUAUAAAGUAUGUAUCUGUCUAUACAUUAAUGCCUGCAUCGCUAAUAUGAUUCUUUUCUUUACAGAUUCUCCCAAUUCAACCAUCAACGCACCGAAUAAACAACACACCGACCUCUUCAUCAGGGACCUCUCUCUAAUUACAGAAUUCUUCCAAUUCAACCAUCAACGCACCGAAUAAACAACACACCGACCUCUUCAUCAGGGACCUCUCUCUAAUUACAGAAUUCUUCCAAUUCAACCAUCAACGCACCGAAUAAACAACACACCGACCUCUUCAUCAGGGACCUCUCUCUAAUUACAGAAUUCUUCCAAUUCAACCAUCAACGCACCGAAUAAACAACACACCGACCUCUUCAUCAGGGACCUCUCUCUAAUUACAGAAUUCUUCCAAUUCAACCAUCAACGCACCGAAUAAACAACACACCGACCUCUUCAUCAGGGACCUCUCUCUAAUUACAGAAUUCUCCCAAUUCAACCAUCAACGCACCGAAUAAACAAUACACCGACCUCUCCAUCAGGGACCUCUCU